UACGUAGGGUGCAAGCGUUGUCUGGAAUUAUUGGGCGUAAAGAGCUCGUAGGCGGUCUGUCGCGUCGGCUGUGAAAACCCGGAGCUCAACUCCGGGCCUGCAGUCGAUACGGGCAAACUGGAGUACUGCAGGGGAGACUGGAAUUCCUGGUGUAGCGGUGAAAUGCGCAGAUAUCAGGAGGAACACCGGUGGCGAAGGCGGGUCUCUGGGCAGUAACUGACGCUGAGGAGCGAAAAGCGUGGGGAGCGAACAGG
rnacentral:rRNA from 1 species